AGCGAGUCAGCUGCCGCCGAGGGACCAGCGCGGGUCUAGCCGCUGCCGCCAACCCCACCAUCCCUGACCGCGCCUGCCCGGGCUCCGCGCCAGGAGGAGCGGCCAGGCCCAGCCCCAGCACCGCGAGCUCGGGGACCCCGACGGCGCCCAGCCCGGCGAGGGGCCUCAGGGGGAGGACGAGGAGGAAAGGCGGCCUCGCCGGGGACCCGGCCAUGGCGCUGGACUUCUUGGCUGGAUGCGCGGGGGGUGUGGCAGGCGUGCUUGUGGGACACCCGUUUGACACGGUCAAGGUGAGUCUCAUCGCUGCUUUUUUUCCCUCGGCGCGUACAUUGGAGAGAGGCUCACAGGGUUGGGGUGGCUGGAAGCCUGUUUCCGUGUAUAGCCCCAGGUGGGCAGCUGCUUUUACACCAGGCUGGGUUGAACCUUCCUCACUGCUUUGUCCUGGCAUCUCCCAGCUGGGGCUGAUCCACAUGCUGGGUUCAUGGCCAAGUCCAUCCUGGGCUUGGCCAGCUGGAACCGAGGUGCUGAGGUUUU
rnacentral:sRNA from 1 species